AAUAUUGGGACAUAUAAAAAAAGACAACUCUGUUCCGCAGAGUAGCUGUUGACAUUAUAGUUGCGCAGGAACUUUGUUGACUCUAGAGAACCUCGGGCAAAUCGCACAUCCCUGUGGCGGCGACUUUGCAUGCGGAUGUCAUCAAUAUCAACUUUCGAUGCUAGUUUCUGCGCCUACCAUGGUGACCACGGGUAACGGGGAAUCAGGCUUCCAUUCCGUACAGGGACCCUGAGAAAUGGCUACCCCAUGCAAAGAAGGCAGCAGGCGCGCAAAUGACCCACUCCUGACGCGGGAAGGUAGUGA